AUUGAACGCUGGCGGCAUGCUUUACACAUGCAAGUCGAACGGCAGCGGGGACUUCGGUCCGCCGGCGAGUGGCGAACGGGUGAGUAAUGCAUCGGAACGUGCCUAUCAGUGGGGGAUCACGCUUCGAAAGGAGUGCUAAUACCGCAUAUCCUCCGAGGAGGAUAGCAGGGGACCUUAGGGCCUUGCGCGGAUAGAGCGGCCGAUGUCGGAUUAGCUAGUUGGUGGGGUAAAGGCUCACCAAGGCGACGAUCCGUAGCGGGUCUGAGAGGAUGAUCCGCCACACUGGGACUGAGACACGGCCCAGACUCCUACGGGAGGCAGCAGUGGGGAAUUUUGGACAAUGGGCGAAAGCCUGAUCCAGCCAUGCCGCGUGAGUGAAGAAGGCCUUCGGGUUGUAAAGCUCUUUUGUCCGGGAGGAAAUCCUGGCCUCUAAUACAGGUCGGGGAUGACAGUGCUGGAAGAAUAAGCACCGGCUAACUACGUGCCAGCCGCCGCAGUAAAAC
rnacentral:rRNA from 1 species